AUCCAGCUUCAGGUUUUGGAAUCAUAGAAUGGUUUGGGUUGGAAGGGACCUUUAAGGGUCAUCUAGUCCAAUCCCCCUGCAAUGAACAGGGGCAUCUUCCACUAGAUCGGGUUGCUCAGAGGCCCAUCCAACCUGACUUUGAAUAUUUCCAGGGAUGGGACAUCUACAACCUCUCUGCGCAACCUCUUCCAGUGUUUCACCACCCCCAUUAUAAAAAAUUUCUUCCUUGUAUCUAGUCUAAAUCUACCCUCCUUUAGUUUAAAACCAUAACUCCUUGUCCUAUCGCAACACGCCCUACCAAAACUAUGCUUAAUGCUCCUUAUUAGUUCCAUGAGCAAUAUGGCUAGGUGUGUUAGAGUAAAAAGCAUUUGUGACUGUCUAAUGUGAAUAUGGUGGGUAGUUCAGCAUCAGAAAAUGCAUCCAAUAUAGAAAUAAGAUAUGCAUAUUUGACUACUUUAGUCAGCCAAAAUACUGCCUCAGAUCAUGAAACAAACACAGAAAACAAUUCUAUUUUUCUACAUUGUUUCUGUCAA